AAAAACAAUCGCGGGACUCUUUCCUAGCAAGCCGAUCACUGCCCAAUCCCCAUUGUAUCUCCCAAUUCCAAUUGAUCGCAUCGACGAAUCCCUAAAACCAGAAGAAACCUUCUCAAUGAUCAAUCUUAUCUCAGACCUAAAUGGACGCAACCUCCCCCUCCCCUUUCCCUUCACCAACCCCUCUUCGUUACCCUCUCUCCUCUCCUACCACCCCGCCGCCCGACGACCUCGCCGACACCUGCUUCCUCGAAUUCAUCCUCCGACAGCCCAUCCCUGACUUCCUUGCCCAGGAAAUAUUCCUUUCCGUCCCCUAAAUGGCCGCACCCUCCUCCUCCUCCUCCUCGUUCCCAACCCUUCUUCGUCACCCUCUCUCCUCUCCCACCACCCGGCCGCCGGCCGACGACCUCGCCAACACCUGGAUCCUUGAAUUCAUCCUUCGACAGCCCAUCCCCGACUUCCUUGCUAACGAAAUAUUCCUCUCCCUCCAUUUCUCUUCCUCCAAUCUCCACCCCCACCUCCGCAAAACCGUCCUACUCCGCCGCAUCUCGUCAGACCUCCGCCGCCGUUCUCUUUCGGAGCGCACACUCCACUCCCUUGAGCUUAUCGUGGAGCUCGACCGUCAUAGCGGCUCCCGGCCCUCGCACCGCUUGAAGGCUGCGUACUGCGCUACGGCCGUUGAGUGCACCGCCGCGGCUUUCUUCAGGAGCGGCAGGGAUUCCAUCGACUUUGUUGAGAGAUUCUGGAUGGCAGAGGCCGCGGAGGGUCUCGUCUCCGAGCAACUCAUUGAGUGGCGGAAAAGGAUGGAACGGUGUCUCUCGAGUGGUGAACGUGGCGAAGAGAUUUUAAAGAGGGACGCAGAAGAUGCAAUGAGCUCGGUAAGGGAUUAUUUGGAAGAGGCGUUGCAAGAUAUGGGUCCGCCUUUUCUCGAGAUUGCGGCUGCAGAGUUUGUGGGGAAAAGAUUGGAUUUGAAUGCAGUUGUUGACAAAGUAGGGAAGGUUUUCACUGAAAUGAAUGUUUGUUUUGAGGAAUUGGAUGAAACUGACGACGAGUUGGAAACUGAUGGGGGUCGUAUUUCGAUGGGGAUCAUGGAAGAGGGUGGGGUUGUAGAGCGAUCAGGGGGUAUGACAGAUACUUCUAGGAGGGAUCUGAGAGUUGGUGGGAUUAGAGAGGAAUCUGAUGGUCUGGGUAAAGCUUCAGCUAUGCAAGGUGCUGACUUUAACGGUGUUGUGGGAUCGGGCUUCGACUCUGUGGAAAUGGAAGUUGAAGACAACGAAAAAGGUGUGAAUUAUAUUCCUGAUCAUAGUGGAUGUAACAUUCUUCAAGUUGCUCCUGAUGAAGUAAGCAAAGUGAAGGAUGCCCUAAAGAAGAGCUCUUUUGAUCUAAAGAGGAUGGUGGAAGAUCCCCUCCCAGAGGCACAAGCUGUCGCAGCUGCAGUAUUGGAUAGCAUAUCUCGUGUUCAUGACAAUGAGGCCGAAAAGCAAAUUUCUGUGGAAAAUCCAGUCUUGCCAGUUUCUCCUGUUGAUCCCGUUGCUGGAAACCCCCCUGGAAUGGGCUGUAGCACUGAUGACUUGGAGAAAGAGAAAUGGAACUUAUCUGUUUUUAAGCAAAUGGAAGGAAAUCAUAUUGAUGCUGGGCCAAGCAAGCGGAGAGAAGUUGUGGCUAAUCAUGGUAUUUCUGAAAGGAAUCCAACUGCUCAUAUUAGUGAGUCGAUCGAAGAUUCCCUGGAGUCAUCAGUCCCUACGGAAAAACUUAAGUCGCCCAAUCCAACUUCGAGGGGAAAUUCUCUAGCUAGGUUAUGUAAAGGAAAGCUUAUCAAAAGGAGAGCUGUUAAGAGAUGGACUCAGCUGGAAGAACAUACCUUGAGGGAAGCUGUAGCAAAGUAUGGCAAAGGAAACUGGAAAUUAAUUCUGAACCGUCAUUCUGAAAUAUUUGGAGAGCGAACAGAGGUUGAUUUAAAGGAUAAGUGGAGAAACAUGGCUCGACAUUUAUUGUAGGACUUUCAGUUGCAAUUUCAUCUUUUAGUUUUCUGGUUUAGUGUGGUCGCCCUCAUCAGCUCUAAUCUUAUCAAAAUAUUUAAGAUAGGCGAUCUCGCAUUAAUUACUUGGGUUAAAAUGACUCAAUAAUGAUGUCUUGGAUAUGAAACUCUAUAAUUCCUGAAAUAAGGGAUGUCUACAUGUUUCUUCAUUGAGUAAAGGAAGUUUGGGAUACAAUAAAUCAAAUGUAUUCUAAAAUUCUGGUUGCGGCCCCAAUCUAAGAGAUCAAAUUCAAGAUCUUGACCUUAAAGCUAGGAAGAUGAUCCAUCAUAGAACACUACAUUCUCAUACAAGGCCUUGACAAGAGAUUGAUUAUUAUUAUCAAUACAUUCAAAAGAAAAUGCAUCAAAGAUGUAAACCUCCUUUAAAAGUUUGUUGGAAAAUAUCAAAUUUAUAAUUUUUUUGAUAAAAUAUUGAGUCUUAGGCUUCAUUUGGUUC